UUCUACCAUACUAAAAAUAUUGUUUUACCACAUCAUUCUCUACAGAAGAAUUCCCCAACCAACUCCCAUAGAAAGCCAUGCAUCUACAAAUUGAUAAUGGACAUAAUCCAAAAAUAUAUCUCCAAUUUCCUGGUGGAUUCCAUUCCAUGGAUACCAUGCUAUUAGAAUGUAAACUAAUAUCUGGAUGAUUAAACCUCUGAAUGAAUAGAAUUAGAAGAAAAAGUCCUGUUCAAUAGGACAGCGUUAAAUAUUAUCGUGCAGUGCUACAAACAUUGAUCAAAUUAUGAUUUUUUUAAAAAAUUCUAUUUUCAAUCUUUAGAAAAAGGUGCUGAUAAAUUCAAAAGAGCAAAGAGAAGAGCAACUAAGAAGCCAUGAUAGAAUGGUUAACGAUUGGGCAGUGAAAAAGAGGAUGAUAAAAAUGAAACAUUGCGAGAGAAUAUGAGAGGUUUCUCGUAAGAGAAUACAAAAGACAGAACAGCCUAUCCUUCAGAAAUCGCCUUGAUGGACUGCCGUAACUGAACAUCCAAGCAGAUCUCCACACCUCCUUUUUCCAUAAGAUAUAUUGUAUUCCAAGAUUUGUAGAUUGCCGAAAGUCCUUUCUACCUCACUAAUAUAAUCACUGAAAAGAUUCUCCUCACAAGGGGGGUUAUUAUAAGACUUGCAAUCAGAGUGGGUAAAGCUGCGGCGGUGUUC